rnacentral:rRNA from 1 species
UACGUAGGGCGCGAGCGUUGUCCGGAAUUAUUGGGCGUAAAGAGCUCGUAGGCGGCCUGUUGCGUCCGCUGUGAAAGCCCGGGGCUUAACCCCGGGUCGGCAGUGGAUACGGGCAGGCUAGAGGUAGGUAGGGGAGAAUGGAAUUCCCGGUGUAGCGGUGAAAUGCGCAGAUAUCGGGAGGAACACCGGUGGCGAAGGCGGUUCUCUGGGCCUUACCUGACGCUGAGGAGCGAAAGCGUGGGGAGCGAAACAGG